UACGAAGGGGGCUAGCGUUGUUCGGAAUUACUGGGCGUAAAGCGCGCGCAGGCGGCUAUCCAAGUCAGUGGUGAAAGCCCGGAGCUCAACUCCGGAACUGCCAUUGAAACUGUUUAGCUUGAGGAUGAGAGAGGUGAGUGGAAUUCCCAGUGUAGAGGUGAAAUUCGUAGAUAUUGGGAAGAACACCGGUGGCGAAGGCGGUUCUCUGGGCCUGUACUGACGCUGAGGAGCGAAAGCGUGGGGAGCGAACAGG
rnacentral:rRNA from 1 species